GAAGUCGGAAGCAUUUAGAUAGAGUUUAGUGAGGUAAUUGUCUGCAGCUUAGCUGAAGGGGUCUGAAGGAGGUAUGCAGAGAAAUUGGUUGUGGCCCUUAGAAUGUUCUCCAGAGGUAGUUCCUUCCCAGACCCUGAGACAUAUCAAAGUUGUCCGAAAGUGGAGCCUUGUUAUUAAUCCCCUCUCACCACACCGGUUCCUGCCUGCCUUUAUGCCCCACCUGGAGACAUCCAUUUCUCCAGACAUUGAACAGGGCAGAGAAUAGAGCCCAUUUGUAUCUGUUUUUCUUGGCAUCUUUCAAAGUACUUGGCACAGAAGAGAAACUCAGG
rnacentral:lncRNA from 1 species